GCCGGCAGGAAGUUCAGGAGCUUCUGAGGGACCGAGAUCCUGAGGAGAUUGAAUGGGACGACCUGGCCCAGCUGCCCUUCCUGACCAUGUGCAUCAAGGAGAGUCUGCGGCUGCACCCCCCAGUCACGGUCAUCUCCCGAUGCUGCACCCAGGACAUUCUGCUCCCAGAUGGCAGGACCAUUCCCAAAGGUAUCAUCUGCCUUAUCAGUAUCUUUGGAAUUCAUCACAACCCGUCUGUGUGGCCGGACCCUGAGGU
rnacentral:lncRNA from 1 species